rnacentral:sRNA from 1 species
GGGUUACUCCUUUGCGCUUACGCGCUUUGGUUGAUAAAGAUUCGCACCUCUAUCAAACCGGGUAACCCCACCCUUUGGCAAGACCUUACUGUCAGAUUAAGUCUGGACUACUAAUUAUGUCUCUGAACCGUAUUUUCAUUAGAUGGCUGUCCACUGAAUUUUUGGCGGUGAAAUUAAAGAAAAAUAUCCUACAAGUUG